AAAAAUAAUAUGCAUCUCAUUAUGGGUACAGUCAAAGAAUUGCCGGAUAUUCUGAGAGAGUACCAACUCUGUUUGAGGUCUGCAUUUAUCACAAAGACUAAUCAUGGGGCAUACCGCACCUUAAGCAAUUACAUAUUUGUGCAACUCAUAGGAAAUCCAAUUUCAAUGACAACAAAAUUAGGCGCAGCGGAGUUUGAAGUACAAGGCCCUGAAACAAAUACCCUCAAAAUGAAGCUCAAGCUUGAUAGAAACGAAGCAACAUCUGAAACCCA
rnacentral:lncRNA from 1 species